ensembl:lincRNA
UCACUGACAUGUUCUUACAGGGGACAGUUUCCCAGUUUUGAAGAGACCUGUUGGGAUAAACACAUUCAAGAUAAUAGCGUUGGGACAGGACAAAAGCCACAUCAUUGUAAAAAUGCCUUCAACCUGAAACAUUCUGAUGGAACUAUGCAUGAACAAUGGACACACACUGCCUAAUGUGGGAUGGAAGAGUAGCUGGCGGACCGCGGCAUUCUUUGGAUUCGUGGUAAGAAAUUCACCCUCCCUCCGAGAAGUCCAUCAGUUAAUAUUAACAAGCAGAAACAGCAAGAACCACUUGGCAGGAGGCUCUGAAUUUCCCCCAGACUCUGAGUCAAGAGGUCAUCAAGGAAGGAGUCUCUGUAAAGUACACCUCUCUUCCUGUGAUGAGAGUGACGACCGGGGUGAAUGGAAUCAGCGUAGACUGCCCUCCUUUGGCAAACAAACACCCACUCUAGUAAGUGCCUUUUAAUGUGCAUCGAGGCUGUGUCUAGGAAAAGGAUGCACAGUUGGCAAGUCAGAGCUGUAAGGGGAUCACUUUGACAUGCCGAUAAAGCUUAUUGGUUUACUUUGGACUUGGCUUUAUCAUUUACUGAAGGAUAUUAUUAGUGUGGAGAUGAUAGCCGUUUUCGGACUUCUCGAACAAAAGCCAGUGAAAUGUAUAUGAACAAGAGGUCUGUUCUGGAGAAUCCUACCCUGUUUCUUCAGUGACUUUGGGAUCCUAAUCAUGCAACUUAACAGAGAUAAGGCUCAGAGCAGAGAAAAAGAGCCCACCCAGUUUGGGGCCCCCAGGAAGACGAAAGUCAGUGGUGUUAAAAAUGGAAGCCCAUCCAACUGAGCAUGUGUGUCGUUUUCUCUUAUUGCAAAUAUGAUAUUAUAAAAAUAGGCUUGCUCUUUGGAGCCAGAUGGCACGCAAUACGUCUGAAGCUAAAUCCAGGCUUGUGACAGUGGUCAUCGCCAGCGAGGAACCACUUGGUCUGUGAUGCCAAACUAUUCGGUUCUUUAUGAGUCUUUUCCAUCAAGCAAGCUCCUCUGUACUUCUCUGAGUGUAAAGAAACAUACAUGCCCCUUGAUGACUGUGGGACUAUUGUUUUGCGAGGUAUCAUUUUGUUUGCUCUGUUCCAUCUACGUCACUCUUCUUUAGGAAAAAGAACACAUAAAUAAUAACCUUGGUACUUAUCAUCAACUAGCUUGUCGCUUCACAAUCUGAUUUGUGUUUACUUUUCAAUGACUUCAUUACUGAUUGAUGUAUCCAUUAAUUCAGCGAAGUCUUCAGUUACAUACAAACCAAGAUUGUAGGCGCUCAAGUCAAAAGUUGGGUUCGUCAACACACAGAUUUUAAAAACCAUGUCGUCUUUACGUUUUUCUCAGUUCUAGCUUCUAUGGCUUAUUUAUUUUGAAGAUAAUCCUCCUAAUUGUACCAUUUAUAAAAGUGAUUUGUAAACUGUAAUGUACGAUGCAAAUACUUUUGAUCCUCAGAGGUUAAGACUGGAAUAUUAUAUAAGUUAAAUAUUUUAAGCAUCUGUUGCAUGCUCAGAAAUAUGUGAGGUGUUUUGUGGAUAAAAGGACUAAAUUGACAGAGUUUCUAUACUCAAGAAAGUUCGAGUCUAUGAGAAGAAAAUAAUUUAAUCAUGGAAAAGACACAAAUUUAGCCACUGAGUUGUCUGAAAAUUUUCUAUAAUCUGUUUGCCAGUUAAGGCCAUUAACAUUGUGAUUCUCUGUGCUCCUUGGUCUGAUUUUGCAAUAACCUAUGUAGCCAGCAAUAGCUCUUAUUUUAAGAUAAGCUUCCUCCAAACAUAAUAAAUUAUUCAAUUUUAUUUAAAGAGCAAAAUUCUGCUUGUUAAAUAAUUUCCUACUUUCACAGCAUUUUGGAAAUUUAUUGAUGGACACUGAAUCCAGGCUACUUGUCUCUGUAUUUUGCUAGAAACCAAAAAGAUUUUCAAAUAAUAAUUGUGAAUAUUUUUAUUAUUAACAGCAAAUAUUCAAUUGUUAAGGCAAAACUUCCAAAUGUAGGCUUAUCAAAAAAAGUUUGCGUAUAUAUCAGUUGGCUGUUUUGUUUAAUGAGCGUGCGUGUCCUCAGUCUCUCCGUCAUGUCUGACUCUUUGUAACCCCAUGGAAUGUAGCUGCUAGGCACCUUCCUCUAUCCAUGGAAUUUUCCAGGCAAGAAUACUGGAGUGGGUGGACCCAAGGAUCGAAUCCCUAUCUCUUGCAUCUCCUGUAUUAGCAGGCGGAUUCUUUACCACUGAGCCACCUGGAAAGCAUUCUAUUUAUUAGUUAUGUGAAUAAAGAACUGAACUUUUGGAAAUUCUG